rnacentral:rRNA from 1 species
GAUGAACGCUGGCGGCGUGCCUAAUACAUGCAAGUCGAGCGAACGGACGAGAAGCUUGCUUCUCUGAUGUUAGCGGCGGACGGGUGAGUAACACGUGGAUAACCUACCUAUAAGACUGGGAUAACUUCGGGAAACCGGAGCUAAUACCGGAUAAUAUUUUGAACCGCAUGGUUCAAAAGUGAAAGACGGUCUUGCUGUCACUUAUAGAUGGAUCCGCGCUGCAUUAGCUAGUUGGUAAGGUAACGGCUUACCAAGGAAACGAUGCAUAGCCGACCUGAGAGGGUGAUCGGCCACACUGGAGCUGAGACACGGUCCAGACUCCUACGGGAGGCAGCAGUAGGGAAUCUUCCGCAAUGGGCGAAAGCCUGACGGAGCAGCGCGGCGUGAGUGAUGAAGGUCUUCGGAUCGUAAAACUCUGUUAUUAGGGAAGAACAUAUGUGUAAGUAACUGUGCACAUCUUGACGGUACCUAAUCAGAAAGCCACGGCUAACUACGUG